AGAGAUCAUAGUUGUUAAAAAAGGACACAUUUAAACAAAAGCUCAAAGCAGAAUCUAAAAUUGGGUAGGCAGGUUUAAGAGCAAAACAGGCAAAUAAUACAAACUAGUGAAGAAAAUUUCAGAAUGCUAUGAGAAAUGGAAAGAAAAUUUUGGAAUGCCACAAGAAAUGCCGAGAAAUUGACCCUCAAUUGAACCCUGAAGCAACACUCUUUCAAAUUGCAAAUCAUAACCUUGUAAUAUCAAAGAGUAACCCUCAUAUAUUAUGGGUUUAACAGAAAAAGACCUAAAGUAGAGACAUCACUUAAACAGUGUGAAGUGCUCUAAUGAAAUUUCAGGAUCAACAUGAUCAAUAAGGCACAAUGACACACCAGAAAAAGAGAAAAGAUCUAACCUUACAUUUUAG
rnacentral:misc_RNA from 1 species